CAAGGUUAAAACUCAAAUGAAUUGACGGGGGCCCGCACAAGCGGUGGAGCAUGUGGUUUAAUUCGAUGCAACGCGAAGAACCUUACCUACUCUUGACAUCCAGAGAACUUNCCAGAGAUGGAUUGGUGCCUUCGGGAACUCUGAGACAGGUGCUGCAUGGCUGUCGUCAGCUCGUGUUGUGAAAUGUUGGGUUAAGUCCCGCAACGAGCGCAACCCUUAUCCUUUGUUGCCAGCGGUUNGGCCGGGAACUCAAAGGAGACUGCCAGUGAUAAACUGGAGGAAGGUGGGGAUGACGUCAAGUCAUCAUGGCCCUUACGAGUAGGGCUACACACGUGCUACAAUGGCGCAUACAAAGAGAAGCGACCUCGCGAGAGCAAGCGGACCUCAUAAAGUGCGUCGUAGUCCGGAUUGGAGUCUGCAACUCGACUCCAUGAAGUNGGAAUCG
rnacentral:rRNA from 1 species